UACGAGAGGCCCAAACGUUAUUCGGAUUUACUGGGCUUAAAGAGUUCGUAGGCGGUGCAGAAAGUGGGGUGUGAAAGCCCUCGGCUCAACCGAGGAAUUGCGCUCCAAACUACCGUGCUUGAGUGAGACAGAGGUAAGCGGAACUUCGGGUGGAACGGUGAAAUGUGUUGAUAUCCGAAGGAACACCGGUGGCGAAAGCGGCUUACUGGGCCAACACUGACGCUGAUGCGCGAAAGCCAGGGGAGCAAACGGG
rnacentral:rRNA from 1 species